rnacentral:lncRNA from 10 species
AUGGCCAGGCCACAGUCCUGCAUCUGACAGGGCUGUGGACGAAAGCCGAGUCUGUCCUGGAGCAGCUGGGCCUGGGCAGGUCUGAGCCCGUGUGAGGAACAUUCCUGCAGAUGCACAGCAUGCAGAGGGCAGGCGGGGCUGACGCACACACUUCUCCCCAGUGAAUUCUGGAGGCUGGAGUCAACCUAUAGAAAGUCUUCCAUGAGGCCGAAAUUGGAGUGUGUGAUGGGGGUGGCUCCUGGGUCUCAUGGAGUUCCUCAGAGAGCUUCUGCCUGAGUUAUCUAUUGGUAUUCUGCAGCAGCUGCCUCACAGAGCCUGGAGAGCUCCAGCAAGGAUGGGCCGGAACUCCAGCUGCUGUGGAACCAGCUCUUGGAUUUCUUUAUCCAUAUGAAGACCUGCAAAGGGCCUGAUAUUUUUUUUUUCUCCUACGUGCCGGCUAACAAGUUAGUCUGCCAGUGGUCUCCUAGGGUUGUAUAGUCUUCCAAUGUCUGCAAUUCCCUUAAUGGCCAUUAGAGUCGCGGACGAGAAAAAAACUCUUCAGAAAACGGUGUGAAUAAUGGGAGCAAGAGAAGAAGUUCCUGGUUAUAGCCCACUCAUAUAUUUUUGAAAUAUAGGUCAGAUCUAGAGGAAAUGAAAGAAACUUCCUGUUGAAUUUUCAUUUAUAGUAUGUGUCUGGAAAUCUCUAAAUGUAAUUUCUUGGUGUAAAAUAAACUGCAGAAAUCUGGGAUGUGUCAGUCUGCUUUAUGUUUAUUGAAGCCAUUCUAUUUG